rnacentral:rRNA from 1 species
CACUCCUUCGGGAGGCAGCAGUGGGGAAUUUUGGACAAUGGGCGAAAGCCUGAUCCAGCAAUGCCGCGUGAGUGAAGAAGGCCUUCGGGUUGUAAAGCUCUUUUGUCAGGGAAGAAACGGUGAAAGCUAAUAUCUUUUGCUAAUGACGGUACCUGAAGAAUAAGCACCGGCUAACUACGUGCCAGCAGCCGCGGUAAUACGUAGGGUGCAAGCGUUAAUCGGAAUUACUGGGCGUAAAGCGUGCGCAGGCGGUUUUGUAAGUCUGAUGUGAAAUCCCCGGGCUCAACCUGGGAAUUGCAUUGGAGACUGCAAGGCUAGAAUCUGGCAGAGGGGGGUAGAAUUCCACGUGUAGCAGUGAAAUGCGUAGAUAUGUGGAGGAACACCGAUGGCGAAGGCAGCCCCCUGGGUCAAGAUUGACGCUCAUGCACGAAAGCGUGGGGAGCAAACAGGAUUAGAAACCCCGGUAGUCCCAUGA